GAUGAACGCUGGCGGCGUGCUUAACACAUGCAAGUCGAACGGAAAGGCUCCUGCUUGCCGGGGUCCUCGAGUGGCGAACGGGUGAGUAACACGUGGGUGAUCUGCCCUGCACUUCGGGAUAAGCCUGGGAAACUGGGUCUAAUACCGGAUAGGACGAUGGUUUGGAUGCCAUUGUGGAAAGUUUUUCGGUGUGGGAUGAGCUCGCGGCCUAUCAGCUUGUUGGUGGGGUAAUGGCCUACCAAGGCGUCGACGGGUAGCCGGCCUGAGAGGGUGUACGGCCACAUUGGGACUGAGAUACGGCCCAGACUCCUACGGGAGGCAGCAGUGGGGAAUAUUGCACAAUGGGCGCAAGCCUGAUGCAGCGACGCCGCGUGGGGGAUGACGGCCUUCGGGUUGUAAUCUCCUUUCGCUAGGGACGAAGCGCAAGUGACGGUACCUGGAGAAGAAGCACCGGCUAACUACGUG
rnacentral:rRNA from 1 species